AUUGAACGCUAGCGGGAUGCCUUACACAUGCAAGUCGAACGGAUUGGCGAACGGGUGCGUAAUUUAUCGGAACGUGCCUAGUAGCGGGGGAUAACUACCCGAAAGCGAAACUAAUACCGAAUACUAUUAGACCGGCCGAUAUCGGGUUAGCUAGUUGGUGGGGUAACGGUUCACCAAGGCGACGAUCCGUAUCUGGUUUGAGAGGAAGACCAGCCAAACUGGAACGGAGACACGGCCCAGACUCCUACGGGAGGCAGCAGUGGGGAAUUUUGGACAAUGGGGGAAACCCUGAUACAGCCAUGCCGCGUGUGCGAAGAAGGCCUUCGGGUUGUAAAGCACUUUUGGCAGGAAAGCGGUACCUGCAGAAUAAGCACCGGCUAACUACGUGCCAGCAGCCGCGGUAAUAC
rnacentral:rRNA from 1 species